UUUCACUUCCUGAUUCAUACGAUGUGUC
rnacentral:sRNA from 1 species